UCGGCGACUAGGAUUUUCUGGAGGUUCGU
rnacentral:piRNA from 1 species